AAAUAAAUCAAUUUUUAAUUAUUUUUAAAUAAUUGAUUUUUAUUCACCCUGGUUCUGUGUCAAACUUUUAAAUAUAUGAAACCUCUGAGAAAUGCUAUCUGGAGAUAUCAGUUGGUACAAUCAGUAUGCAGGUAAUCCCCAACGUGCUCCUUUUUGUCUGACUGGGGGGGCUGUAAAGACUCUGAACCUGUGGCUACAAUUAGUGAAAGAUUGUAUGCUUUUCUUUGUUUCCAUCUUUAUGGUGUCUUAUGAAGAAAGAGUAUGUGUUCUUAUCACUACUGCUAAUUUUGUUUUAUUUUGCUACUUUCUUAUUGAACUUGUUUAUUUGUGGAUGUUUUGUUUUUACUAUUGGUAUAAGAUAGUGUGUAAUUAAUGUGCUUCAUUGUGUUUUACUAUAUUUGCUUAUGAUUGUUUUGUUCCAGAUUCCUUUGGUGCAUAAGGAAAUAUGUUUUUAUAUAAGAGAAAAAUGGGGACUAGAGCUUCUUAGCCAAUUCUGAUCUCUGCUUGGCUAAAAAUCCCUAUAAUAUAAAUACUGAUGGGAGCUGUUGCUGAAGAGUAAACUACAUUCUUGUUUAGCAUGGAAUUAGAAGUUUAUCAUAAUGUGAAGCAGCAGUUUAUUUCCAUAUGUCAAGCUUUCAUACAUCAGAAGUAUGUUGAGACAAAUUCCAUUUUGCUUGACAGUAAAUCCAUAUAAAUUAGAUUGGCUUCUUGAGAAUAUAGACUGGGUAGACCCAGUCAGAAUCAGGCAUAUGAUGUAGCAGUUUUGUGAUUGCUUCAUCACCUUUUAGUUCAGCCUAGUCUUACUUGCCUCCAUAAGGGCGACAAAAAUGUUUUUGAUAGUGGUGUUAAUAGAAAUAGGGUCAACUCAAUAUGGCGGAGCAAUUGUAUGGCCACUUCACUUUGUGUUUUCAUAGAGUUACCAAUUUUUCAUUCUCAGUCUGUGCUGGUUAAUCAUAUAAAAUGCACUGAGUGCACUUAGUGAGAACAUGAAGUGCAUAGACGUUAUUCCUCUAGCUCUUAAAACCAUUAAAGAAUAGGCCCUUCUCCUGCUAGCUACCUACCUCAGUUCAUUUGGUGGGGGCGCCCAAGAAAAGGAUUGCUACGGAUUAUUUUUGUGCCUGCACAGGAGAAGAUGACGCUUUAGGUAGAUGUUAAGAAAUACAGGGGAUAGGUUGGAAGACAUUGAAACCCACAGUGCCUUAUUUUCUCCUCUCUUGAACAUGCCUAUUGUGUGACACAUGAUUUGCCUAGUUAGCAUUGUCACUUCUCAUGAACUCGGCAAGGUAUAUUUGAAAUCACACCAGAUCCCUACAACAAGCUAGACGUCCUUUGGUGGUUUCAAAGCCACCUGUGCUAUGCACCUGUUUGGGUUUGGAUGACACAAGAAGCUGCAUGCUGUUAGUGUAAUUAGGCAAAUAGUGUGAAAUGUAAGCAGCAUGCAGGGAACUGGGAAAAGAAGCUACUAUGGCUUCUUUUGUCCUGUGAUUUUGCAGACCUGGCCUUUAUGUCUGAACUUGGGCAACUGUGAUUUAUUUUUAAAGUAUUCAGUUUGAGCAAACCUGGAUUAGACCUUUGUUUCAGAUGCUGCUUUGAUAACUAACCACAGUUAAGAUCAGUGACAGUUUAAUGUUUUGAUGUUAUUCAGAAAUGAAAACAGAAGCUUUCAGUCUUCUCGCUGUGUAUGCAUGAGAAUAUAAAAGGAGAUGAAAUAUUAAACCAUAGACUGAAUUGAGCCACUGUGCCUUUAAUAUUUUUUGUACUGAGAGAUCAUUACAAGGAUGGAAUAAGACCAUGAACUCCUUUAAAAAGGUGUAAUGACAUGUCUCCUGUACUGUUUUUAAACAUUUUAAGAUCUAUUUUUGAUCUCUCUAACAGAACACCUGUUCUCAAGUAUUAUUAGGAUAUGUACCAUUACUUCUAAAAUACAGAAUGGUUUCGUAUGCUGUUUUGCUGGUAGUAUUUUUAACUGUUUGGAUUUUCCAUCACCAAGGACUUGGUUCAUUCUUCACCAGAGAUCAUAAUUUUUUGCUACUUGGAUAAGUUGUUUUUAAGGUUGUGUUUGUGUGCUUCCUUCUCAUCUCCCUCCCCUUUCUGCACAUCAGAAGGGGAUAGUAGAAACUUUCAUGCCCAGUUUUUAAAAAGCACUGUGAAGGCCAAACUUGGCAAACUGGUGUUUGUUUAAACAGUGGUUUCAAAAGCAAGGUUUGCUGUCAUGAAGCAUAGCAUAAUAACCACAAUUUCUUUAGUUUUGACAUCUUGUGCAUGAAAGAAGAGAGGCAGUGUAGGUGUUUCACUACCUAAUCCUUAGUUGAUGGUAGAAUUCAAGCUAAUAGCAAAACAAGAUUUAAUAGCUAUUAGUACCUUUAAGUCUUCCACAUUGUUAUGGUUCAUACAUCUAUUAAUAAUUAUUUCUUACCUCAGUCAUCAUGAAGGCUGUUUCUUAUAGCUACCAUGCAAUGUCAGGCUAUGCAUAGUACUUUUCAAGCUGUUCAGUCUCAUGUCUACCUCUUGGUAUCCCUAUUAAACUUUUCACAAUGAUUUAAUGUAAUUGAUAAGUGAAUAUACUAGAAUCAGUGGUUGCACUGUUUUGAUAAACUUUUUUUCCCCUAGCCAAGACAAGUGGAUAACAACAAUUUGCAUGAAUAGGUAGCAAAACUAGGAAUGAAUUGUAAGAACAAACAUGCUGCCGAUGCGUAGUGUUUAAUUGUGGUUUGAUUAUGCAACAAGGGAUCAGAUUUUAAUAGCUGUACAGGACGGGAACCCCAAAAGUCAGGUAGUGAGAUAGGUUCCAGCUGUGUGUGCAUGUGUGUGCUUAUGUUUGCAUGCUUAUGUAUGUGUGCUAAAUUGACAGUGGCACGACUAAAUAUUAAAAACUAUUGACUGUGAUACCACAACAGUAAUUCUAUUUCUUCUCCUUCUCAAGGCAUUUUUGCUUACUAUGACUAUUUUACCCCCAGGGGCCUGAACUAGCCAAGGUGCCUCAGGUUCAAGAAAAAUGGAAGAAAAGAAACCACCUGUGUCAAAGAUGAUAUAUAGUUUAUGGAAUACAAUGAUGAAAUAUGGAUGCAGGGCAUAAAGAAGCCAAAGAAUGCUUAUGCUUUCCUUUAUCUAUGCUGAUAUUGGUUCCCUGAAUAGGCCAGGGGAUUCUCCAUGUGCCUCCAAAUUUGCCUGGGUGAGUGAAGUGUCAAUUCCUCUCCCCGAGCCAAGGACAAAAGACAGUGUCUCUUGCCAUGGAUUUUGUAAAGGUCCUCUCUUCUACUGUUGUAAGUCUAUCAAUACGCAAGCUGUAACCCAUCCCACCCAUUUUCCUGAGACAAAGAGGGCAUGACGUUUCUUCAUUAAGGUAAACCAUUUUGUUCUCACAGCAAAAGCGUCCCUUAUUUCCAGAAAAGUUGGGAAAGGCACCUUCAAGGCAUCUUCCUAACAAGCUGAAAGACAUAGGGCUUGACUUGUCUUUAACAAACAACCUUGGCUUUUGAACAGUGGGAAGGUUCACUAAACUGCCCGUUGAACCUUAAUAACCUUGCCUUUCUUCUGUAUUUCCCUUAUAGUACAAGACCAAGUGGGGAAAGUUAACUUUUAUUUACAGUAAAUGUUUCCUUUAAAAGAAAGUAUGAUCAUAGUGGUUUGUAAGAAAAUGUCUUAAAAGAACUGUCCUAAAUAAAAUGUCCCUGACCCGACUGGUUUUCACAACUGUUGUCCUCUUUCAAACAUAACAUAUCUUGGCAAAGUGCUCAAGCACAUAGUGUGGCCUGAGUCCAGGUAUUCUUGGAUGAAUGAUUAUUUAGAUGUGUUUCAAUCUGGCUUUCUGCCAGUUCUGAGUCUGAAACCCUGCUGAAUGACCUUGGCAUGAAAAUGGACAAGGGGUUGAAACUAUGCUUUUUUCUCCUGGAGUGCUAUCUCCUUUUUCAACUUGUGAUCUUUGGGAGAUGACAGAAAUUCUAUACUAGGAUUUAGAUGUUCUAGAGUGAAUAAGGAUAGAAAAAUUGAAGGUUAAUCCAGACAAGAUACAAAUACUAUACCUUGAAGGUUCUUGUGAUCUAGGAAUAGGUGUUCAGCCUGUUUCUGCUGGAGUCAUGAUCUCAGUUUGAUACUCCUGGAUCCAGGUCAGGUUUGGCUGUUGCAUGAACUGCUUACUUUCCUUAAGAAGUUGGACCUGCCUCAGUUGUCAAAAUUCUAGUUGCUUCCCAAUUGGUUAAUUAUAAUACUUUUCAUGUGGGAUUAAUUUUGAAAAGGGUUCUCAAAUUUCAAUUGAACUAUAAUUUAAAUACAAGGAUACUGUUUAGAGUGGGUAGAUAAAAACAGUAAUUUUAUACUAGCUGCCACUGGUUACUAAUUUGUUCCCAAGGUCACUUUAAUGUGCUAAUUAUGCCUGCUAAAAUUUUAAAUGGUUUGGGACUUGAGUCCCUAAUGAAUUGUCUGCACUUAUAUUAAUUGUCCUGACAUUUGAGAUUAUCUUUAGAGAUGCAUUGUGCCCACUGUCUCAACUAAGGUGAAUAGUGUACAAGGGACAGGGCCUUUUCAUAAUGGUGCCAGUACUCUAGAUUUCUCUGCCAAAGAAAGUCUGGCUGUUGCUUGUCUUUUGAUGAACAGCUAAGAUGCACUUCUUUAUGUAGGCUUUUUCAAGUAAGUUUUGGUAAUGUUUUUAUAGAUUUUUUUAAAACUUUCAGACUAAUUUAUUUUAUCAUCUUUCUGUUUUAUAUUGUUAGCCACCUUGAAUAUUUUUGUUUACCAUCAUAAUGUUGUCAUAUUAAACAUCAGUCUUAUUAGUCUUAGUAGUUAGGGUAUAUGCACUGCAAUACAGUUGACAAUUUAAUUGUUAGCCCUUCCUGGCUUGUGUCCCUAAUAGAAAUGGGUAUUUCAAUCCAUAUAGAAGAUUGCUGCAAGAGACAAGGCCUUCUCACUUGUCACCCCACUUAAGGAAUGCCCUCCCCAAAGGGGUUUCCUGGCACCUGCAUUGCUAUCCUUUUGGUACCAUGGAAAGAUCUCCAAAAUUCCAUUUUGGAAACCCUAGUUCUCUCCUUAGUUUGGAGUCUACAUUGAGCAGGAAGUUUGGACCUAAUGACCUCAUUGGCUCCUUUCAGCAGUACUAUUCUAUGAUACUAAAUUUUUAUGACUGUUUUAUUUAUUCCUUUGCUAAUAGUUUUGUACUUUUAUUCAUUCUAUACUUUCUAGCAUUUUAGGGAUAUUGAUGUGUACAUUGUAUUAGGUUCAUGGGGCAUGUGGGUGGAGAAUACAUCAUCAUACAGAUGGCUUGGGGGGCGGGGAUAUAAAUUCCUGACUUGCCAUUCCGUGGAAGCUUCAAGACCUGAAAAAGUUGUGCACUCUGGUGCUUUUUAUGCUAUUCAGAGGCAUGUUUAUUUUAUUUAUUUAUUUAUUUAGGAGGCUUCUAUGCCGCCCCAUUCGCCGAUGUUUACUUAGAAGCUGUGGUUGUGAAGUCCCCUGACACUGAAUAAUGUUUGACUAAUGAAGUAUACAGCUGCAGUAGGUUGGCUGUCUGUAAUGCUUCAGCGAUAAAAUAUCCUCAGAACUAAACAGUACCUGGUGAAAAGCUUGUAAUCCUAGAAAAAUGCAAAUUGGUUUCUACUGGUAUUGAUACUUCUGUUUUAUUUGUGAGGGAAAGAAACAAUUAGGUAAAUUUUACUAAUGUUCAUAAUUUGACAACUGAUUCCACAACAUACUAGAUUCUAGUACAGUAUUUCAUUAGUAUCUGACAAAAAUCUUUGAGAAUAUUCUGUAUUCAUCCAAAUGUCUAGCGCAGUCAUCUUGGUUCUCUAUACAUUGCAUGGCAGCAAUGUAACCAUUCUUGUCAUUUGUAUAAUCCUCAUUAAUAUAAUCUCUGAGUUGUCAGUCACUUAUAUGAGCCUCUGUUCCAGCUGAUCAUAUAUCAGUGCCCUUGCCCUAGAAGUACUCCUACUGUUUGUAAGCCUAGUAGCAAGCAUGUUUUGCUCUAAGUAUCUAUAAUAUCUGCUUUAUAAUAUAUUAACCCAUAAACCCUAUAAUAACCAUAAUAUGCUUAAAAGCAUGGGUGAAAGAUUCCCCCAAAUAUAUUUUGCAAGUUGAUAAUAUCUAUGUAAGUCUCAUGUUUAAAUUAUGUGGAUUUUUUUUCAAGUCUACAGUCUGUUUACAGAAAGUUUUUGUCUUUCACUGUGCUAUUCUAAAGCUUUCACUUAUACAUAAUAGUUCAAUUUUCAUUCUUCUUCCCAAAUGAAAUCUAUUUGACACUGCAGUAUCCAUGCAUCUACAGUUAAGUGCACAUGUCUAAUAGAAAUUAGCGGGACUUAAUUGUGAUCAACGCUAGCUGAAAUAAGACUCUUUCUUCUAUCAUUUUGACAUAGCUAAAUUUUGGAAAGAAUGGAAAGAAAUAAAGUUGAAUCAUUUUUAUGAUGUAAAAUGAAAAGCUGCUAUGAUGGGCACGAUAAGGAAGUAUUUAUAUUAUGUAUUUCUGCUUCAUUCAUUCAUAUUUUAAUAUGAAUGAAGUUACAGGAGAUUCCUAUGUUGAGUGGGGUGCUAGUGCAGCUCUUUCAUGGGGCCAAAUUUCCUAAAAUAAUUUUUCUUAAAAAUUCAACAAAUCUAUAGAUAAACUGACAUUUACUCAAUUGUGCAACUGUGUUAGGAAUUGUAAAAUGUUUGACUUUUCUUAAACUGUUAAUAAUGAAUCUCUUGGGAAAUGGUGAGUGUCCUGAUAAAAUUCUGGCACAUCUUACGUAGCAAAAAUAAAGAAAUUUUAUUUCAGCUUAUGAAAUAUCAGAGUGAUACACACCACUGUCAUUUUUAUAUAUUUAAUGCCCCAAAAUGUUUUCGAGAUAUAUAUAUCUGUAAGAAUGUGCACAGUAUCACACUAUUGAAUUGCUUUUGCACCAAGGGCAAGCAAAUCCUAGCUUGUAAACUAAGAUUGCAAAUAAUGCAAGCCUCUUGGGGUACUACCAUUGUCACAAGAGAAGGAAGAAUGUUUAAGCUUUUUCUUUGCUUUUGGGCUUCCUCUUCUUGCUAUAUAUGUGGAAGAUCUGUUUCUGUCUUCUUGACAAGGCAUCACAGGAUUGGGAGCAGGUAUAAAACAACAAAAAGGAGCUGAAAGUAAACUUACUUGAAAGCAAAAUGAUGAGACCAGCAUCUAGCAUAUGGACACAUUUUCACACUGCAAGUUCUUCUGAGGGGAAAGAAGCAUUUCCAGCUAAUACUGGGAUGUCAAAAGAUAUCUUUGUGUUAUGUAAGAAGUGAACUGUAGGUGGAAAAAAACCAUGAAUCUGAGUGAGGAGGACCAUGCAGAAGUGUAAGCAGGCUUUCCCGUUGUUCUCAUUCCAGAAAUCCUCUUUCUGUUCCUUCUAUGACACCAGCAUCAUCAUAAAGAGCUUUUCCAUCAGCAAGGUGCAUCUUCAAGUAAACAAACAUUAAAAAGAACCACAUCCCCCCACUCAUCCAAAACCCCCCUAAGUAUAUUCACUUACAGACAAGUUGACACCUGAAGAUGAGAAAAAAAAUAUGCAAGCUCUUGCAUGAGCAAUGUAUUCUUUUGGAAUCCCAUUGUUAAUAAUGGAAAACACCUACUGACAAGAAGUUUUUAGAUUACUAAGGGGAUCACACAUUUUUGUGAGCAGACAUUCUUUGAGGUAUCUUCCUUUACAGUCAAUGUGGAUGCAUAAUGGAAUCUGCAAGGAAGUUUUGAUGAUGCAUUGUGUCUUGCAAUACAUAUGGAUGGAUGAUCAGAUGCGAAAGGGAAAGGAAUCAUAACUGUUGUGAUACCACAUCAGCCUGUUUAUUUUCAGAUGCUUUGAAAUGGGAGAAUAGACAUGCUGCAGAGUAAAAUGUGUAAAGUCCUACAUGAGGAUGGUAAAGUAUUAGUUUUGUGGACUUAAAAUACAAGAUAUGAAAAUAGCAUUCGAUAAGUAUCCACAUACUAUUGCAAUUGAAUAUGUAUGCCAUGGACUAAAUUUGUUUCUUCAUGAUAUCAUGAAGUUUAACUGUACACCCUCUAAAAGAUCUAUAUAUGAGCAAAAGUUAUAAAGCACAUUAAAGUUGUAUUGUAGUGGCAUUCUUCAAGAAGAAGCAAGAAGAAAUAAAUGCAAUGGAUUGAAUAAUGAAACUGAAGCUCUGUAAUGCAACUUCAUGGAGCAGAAUGGUGCUCUUUGAAACUUUACCCCCCCCCCAAAAAAAACCUGUACUGAGUGGCCAAGGUCUUGUACUUUGUACAAAUAGAUUAGUCUGAUUAUAAGGAGAAGGUGGUGAGGUAGAGAUGGGUAGAUGAGCUGGCAGUUUUAAGGUUACCUAGUGAAGAUUCUCAAGCAGGGUGUGAGAACUAUUCUGCCUUGGGAAAAGGAAGAAGCAUUUCAAAGCUGGGUAGGGAGAUGGUGGAGAAAGAAUUCCUUAACCCUGUCAGGGAAUGGCAGGUGAAACAAAUGGACCAAUUUAUGAAUGUAUGAUUUUUCCACCAUCUAAUCCUUAAGCAGCAGGAACUACCCUGAUGGUGGAAUUAGAUGCUUUUCUGAAAGGGGGGGCAAGAGGGGAAGUUUCAGUUUGUAUUCAGUUCUUCGCAUAGACUGAUGCUUCUCCCGCAUCUCAGGGAGAAUGCUGCUUUGAUUUGUAUUUAUUUAUGCUCUGUUAAGCUUUAAUAAAAGGACUACACUUCUGAACUCUCAUCUGAGUCUGUGGGAAAGCAGAGGAAUGAGGGAGAGACCUGCUCAUCAAGAAACAAUGGUAGCUGAAGAUCUUGAAAUACCCAGGAGUGGUAGGAACAUUAUAAUUGAUUAGGAUGACUUAUGAAUUCAACUGCAGAACUCCUUGAAGCUCCUAAAACCAGUUUCUUCAGCAGUUAUUGCAAGAGAAUCAAGAACUGCAUUUUGGUUGAAAAUUCCUACCAAAUGGCCAAGGUACAAACUGUUUUUGAAAAUUCAAGUCUGUUUCCAUUUACAAGUACCAAAGAAACUAAAGUGAAAGAUUAUAUUAAGAAACAUGAAGAAUGCUGUUGUAAUUAAAUUCAUGCUGCUGGAUUCAAGAUUCAAAGACAGAAAUUUAAAUGAGGCUGCAUUUGAAUUGAUUACAAACAAGUAAUGGUGUGAAGGUACUUUCAAAUGUUGCAGGAUACAGAACAUCGUUAUUUGGUCCAGGAAUGCCAGUUUCUGAGAUUCUGCCAAACGUUUUCCUCGUGCAACAUGGAAGCAAGGCCUCUUUUGUUUUCUGCCUACUUCUUUUUCUUGCAUCCUUCUUCAGAUUCCUCCAUCAUCUUCAUAAUGCAAAGGAAAUAAAUCAAAAUUUGACAGUACACUACAUCAAGAAAUAAACUAUUGUGUGAAAGAUUAGAAAGCUUGUUUCAAUCUGGGCAAAUCCUCAGGUUUUAGCAAUCUAUAAUGAGGACAAAAAUGUAUACAUAGAAGUAGAAAGUGAAACUGAUAGUUAUCCCUCAAAAAUUAGACUGAUUAAAUUUUAUGGGUAUUCAUAUAAUUUUGAUUAGACCUCAUUCCCAUCCCUCCUAGAUUAUUUCCUGUCCUUUUUAUGGGAUAUGUGCUACAUGUCUGCUUGGUGCGGUGGGAGAGAGAACCAGAGGAGACAUAAUUUUCUUUAUAAUAAUUACAAAGUUGAAAAAUAUAAUAAUUCUUCAUAAUUUAUGAUUUUUCUAAUAUAUAACCUAUGUCACAUGAUUGGUUGUGCUAUCUCAGCCCAGAGAACUAUGAAUAAACCCAGCAGUAUUUGUUUUGUUU